UAGGUUGCACUUACUCCCAGGAAGGUUGGCAGAAUGGGCUGAAUUUCGGGUGCCACUCGUACUGUUUCUCAUUAUUGAGUCUCAGUAGGGAUGGGUCCCUGGAAUUCAUAUGCAAAUAGAUGAGGUUAAAGUCAGCGUGUCCGUUUGACAGCUGCGUGCAGCAGUGAGAGCCUGGCUGGCUGGUCGUGCCCUUCUUGGGGCCAAUCUUAGAAGCAGCGGUGGGGAAAAGCCCGUAUUCCAGCUUGAAGGAAAGCCACUCCGUGAGUCGCAGCUGCUCGGGUUGAUUUAAUAUCCCUAGAAAAUGGCAGAGACAUCAAGUGGUAGAGGAAGAUGCAUGUCUGGGGGAGCAAAGAUCUGUCUGUGAUAUCCCCAGCCCUCCUGGAUUAUUUAUUUCAGGAAAGCACGACUUUUAUGGAAGCCUCGGAGCAAAAUGCAAAACAAACUACAGUUCCCUUGCCUCUCAGCUCCUGGCAGCCUCUCCAGUCAGUCGCCCUUGGCUGUGGGCACCGCUUUUCCUAAGCACAUCGCUAGCAAAGGAGUGAGACACAGGAGGCGCCAUUCCACUCGUGUUUUUUAACAGACUCCACCGGACUUCCCUCAGAAACAGGGCUGAACUGGAGAAACAACCGUUUAAAACACAGCAUUGUCUAUCUGCUACAUGAAGACCCCGGUGCUCAGACACAUGACACUGGUUGGCACAGAUCCCAUCAGUGACACUCCAUGGCCCUACAACGACCACUAGCACCAAUGUCCUCUUCUAUCCUCGGCACAGGCACUUGAAUGGCUUUGCCAAGAAAAGUGUUCUCUAAAGAUAAAGUAACACAAAGACAAGAGAAAGAAAGAGAGACAGAGAUACACAGUGGUACACCUUAGGGGAAGUAACAUAGGAUUGUGGAGGUUGUGAAACCCAACACUACAUGGAAGCUAGAGAAUCAGGGAAGCUAGUCACAUAGCUCAGUCUAGAUCCAAAUAUUGUAGAACCAGAAGGUCAGAGACUUAGGAGUGUGCCUACAAGUGCUGGUAGGAGAUGUACUUGUCCCAGAGUCCAAAGGCCCAUUGACCUGGAGUUGUGAGGACUGAGAACAAGGCAGAUGUCUCUCUCAGCUUGGUAAGGAAAGGAAGAAGACAAUGCAUGUAAAUGUUGGCUUGACUCAUGGGGUGGAGCUCUAAUUAGUUAUCCCAGUCAGAAAUGACAAGACGCCUUCCUUAUACAGUCUACCAAGUCAAAUGCCAGUCCCUUCCAGAAAUACCCUCACAGACGUAACCAGAAAUAGUGUUCUACCAGAUAUCUGGAUAUCCCUUAAUUCCCUCAAGUUGGCACUUACAAUUGCGUACCACUGUGCAGAAUUGAUGCAUCGUCUCCCAACCCUGCUCUUCCUUGUAAACUUUCACCUACUCUAAAUGAGCAUGGAAAGUCAGAACAACCCUGCCUGCUUGGCACACUGCACAUGAACUCAGCAAGGUGAACACUUACUAGCACUACAGAGGCCCAUUGACCCGUCGCACGCAGCUGUGUGUGUUUAUUCGCAAGUAAAGAGGAAGAGCUGGGACUGUGGCUGUAAAAAGGAAAGCUGGACAAUUUUUUAAAAAUAAAUUUUCAAUAUCUAAUAAUCGCACAUGAAUAUACCUGAUUUUCCAUUAACUAAAUGGAGUUGCCAAAAGGAACUAAUGAAUACUGCAUGGGUGAGUUCUGUAACUUUUUUUUUUUAAAGGGAGGACUGGACAUGAAAUAAUUUCUUUUAAUAAAGAGACAGAGACAA